CAAUUCUAAUGGCAAAGCAGUAGUGAUAUUGUGACGCAAAACUAAAGGGUCUUAUUCAAGAUAGCCAGCUGCAACU
rnacentral:ncRNA from 1 species